UUUCCGUAGGUGAACCUGCGGAAGGAUCAUUACUGAGUGAGGGCCCUCUGGGUCUAACCUCCCACCCGUGUUUAUUAUACCUUGUUGCUUCGGUGAGCCCGCCUCACGGCCGCCGGGGGGCAUCUGCCCCCGGGCCCGCGCCCACCGAAGACACCUAGAACUCUGUAUGAAGAUUGCAGUCUGAGCAAAAACUAAAUAAGUUGAAACUUUCAACAACGGAUCUCUUGGUUCCG
rnacentral:misc_RNA from 1 species